CUGCUGCCUCCCGUAGGAGUUUGGGCCGUGUCUCAGUCCCAAUGUGGCCGUCCGCCCUCUCAGGCCGGCUACCGAUCGUCGCUUUGGUGGGCCGUUACCCCGCCAACUGGCUAAUCGGGCGCGGGCCCAUCCCGUGCCGCCGGAGCUUUCCGCAUACUGCCAUGCGGCUGUAUGCGCUUAUGCGGUAUUAGCGCCUGUUUCCAGGCGGUAUCCCCCGGCACGGGGCAGGUUGCCCACGCGUUACUCACCCGUCCGCCACUAAG
rnacentral:rRNA from 1 species